rnacentral:misc_RNA from 1 species
UCGGAAAAAAAGUUUUCUUCUGAGAAACCGAAUCUCAAGACUCGCUCAUGGCAUCUACUCGGAUGAUCGUUUGUCCCUCUAUAUGUUUGAAAUGAGAGAUGUACAGGAAAUCAAUACAUCGCGGCCCACGGUUAAGAGAUCCUAGGUUGUGUGUAUGUGUGUGUGUCUGUGUGUGUGUGUGCACGCAUGGGCAAGAGAAAGAGAGAAAAGAAGAAGGUAAAAUUCCGAUUCUACGAAUCGAUUAAUCUUGAAAAUCCUAUAGUACAAUUUAUGGAUCAAAUAUUCAUCACUAAAAACAAGAAGAAAAGCAGGUCUACGGGUUGGAAUUCUUUAUAUUUCGCCAGAUCUCGGAAUUCCAAGCGCCGUGAGUGUGUCGAUCUAACAAUACACGGAGGUUCUACGAUUCUGUGAAGAAUGGCAAGAAUAAAAAGGAAUACAAUGCAGAACGGCCACUACAGGAUAACAACAAAGAAAAGAAGGCUUUUGUUCCUCAACUUUUUCCCGUUCCCCUCUUACCGCGCCGUGAUUCUGCCUUGGGUCUAACACCGAAUCGAAUAAAAUAUGUUGCCUACUACUACGAGCAAGUUAGUACAGUCAGAAAUUUUUCUAAGACAUUGAAAUCUCCUAAUCGUUACAAAAUAAAUGCAAAUUAUUCAAAUUAUUCCUUAGCCAUUUCGAAUUUAUUCUAUCGCAAUUCUAAUAGCGCUAGUUUCAUAUCAAAUGUAUUAAAUGUACGAAUAGUUACAACGCCAGAAUAAAUGAAACAACGUGGUUGAACAUUGUGCAUAACCUAUGGAAUCUUUCUUUAUCUCCGCUUUUUUCUGGUUCUGUUCGUUGACGACUAUACUUAAGCGUCAAGUCUGCCACGUCUAUUGAACGUACGUGUGGAAGGCACGGAAAGUCUUCCAACAGUACCAUUCUAGGCAGACGACACUGACAUAAGCCGCAAACGUCGCAAGCAGCAGCGUUGGGACGCAUCAACGAGGCCGGCGGCGAGGACGUGGCAACAGUGCUAUGACUCAGCUCUCCUCGUUCCAACCGC